rnacentral:rRNA from 1 species
UACGGAGGAUGCAAGCGUUAUCCGGAAUGAUUGGGCGUAAAGCGCCCGCAGGUGGCAAUGUAAGUCUGCUGUUAAAGAGUCUAGCUCAACUAGAUAAAAGCAGUGGAAACUACAUAGCUAGAGUACGUUCGGGGCAGAGGGAAUUCCUGGUGUAGCGGUGAAAUGCGUAGAGAUCAGGAAGAACACCGGUGGCGAAGGCGCUCUGCUAGGCCGUAACUGACACUGAGGGACGAAAGCUAGGGGAGCGAAUGGG